rnacentral:tRNA from 1 species
UCCCUGAUGGUCUAGUGGCUAGGACUCUGCCCUCCCAGUACAGGGGGCCCAGGUUUGAUCCCUGGUCAGGGAA